UACGGGGGGGGCAAGCGUUGUUCGGAAUUACUGGGCGUAAAGGGCUCGUAGGUGGCCAACUAAGUCAUGCGUGAAAUCCCUCGGCUUAACCGGGGAACUGCGCCUGAUACUGGUUGGCUUGAGUUUGGGAGAGGGACGCGGAAUUCCAGGUGUAGCGGUGAAAUGCGUAGAUAUCUGGAGGAAUACCGGUGGCGAAGGCGGCAUCCUGGACCGGCAUUGACGCUGAGGAGCGAAAGCCAGGGGAGCAAACGGG
rnacentral:rRNA from 1 species